UGCAGCCACGCGCAAGCAGAAGCCCAGCAGUCGGCCCCCGCUGUUGGCUGUGCUGUGGGCUGGUGCACACGCUGCUGGUGUGGAUAAUCAUUCGUACGCUCUUACUGUAAAACAGUCUGUGUGUUUCCUCUUUUCUUAUUCCACCCUUUCCUUAUUCUAUUUUUCCCUCUUAUAGCAGACACCACUCUGGGAGAAGUCAGUGUUUCCCAGUGGUAAGAUCAGCUGAGCCCGCGUAAUUCUCCCAAGCCGCAGUGCUGGAGGGUCGGCUUUGGUUGGGUUUGUUUUGUGUUGGGUUUUUUUUCCCCUAAAGCACCAGGAAACAUGCUAAGGAAAUACCCUAUAAAGACCAGGGAAGGGGCUAUCAAUUCGAAAAGCCUUUAAGAUUCACAGAGAGGUGAAGCCAGCGAGUGCUGCAUCGCGCCGGACUUUGUCCUGCCACCCCCAGCAACCCACAGCGCGCUCAGGGCUUGCUGUGCCUCCAACCAGGGUCCCUACGACGGGCAGGGCCGUGUCCCUUCUUACGCUGGGCUGUGCUGUAAUGCAAAGACCUGCGCCUGCCUUGAACCCGUAGAUACCAGGAGCUGGGACACAGUGGCUGCCUCGCCUCAUCCCUUGAACCGCGCAGCGUACCCUGUCCACUGCCAGGCUUUCGGUUUUUUCCAACAGCCUAGGUGUAGGUGUACUGGUUUACUCAACAGCUACCUUCUGACCCGUGGAUUCCUCUUUCUUUGCGGUUAUAAGCAUCUGUGGAGUUAAACAUUUAUCGACAGUUACGCAAGCAGAGCCAGAGCAAGAGAGUUAAGUAAAGGCAAACCAUUUCAACAAAGAAGCCGGAGCACUUUGACGCUGGCAAGAAGAUGCAGGGUUCGAAGGAAACAAAGAUGAGCGAGAUUGCAAAACCGGGAUGCCUGCGCUUGCAAAUUGCUUGUAAUGGGUCCAGAAAUGACUUGUCUAGUGCUGUUGUUUUACCUUUUACCUACCACUAGGUAUGCACCUAAACUCAUUAAAGGGUUCUAUCGAGUCAUAUAA